GCGGUAAUACGUAGGGUGCAGGCGUUAAUCGGAAUUACUGGGCGUAAGGCGUGCGCAGGCGGUUUGUUAAGACAGAUGUGAAAUCCCCGAGCUUAACUUGGGAAUUGCGUUUGUAACUGGCAAGCUAGAGUGUAGCAGAGGGGGGUAGAAUUCCACGUGUAGCAGUGAAAUGCGUAGAUACGUGGAGGAAUACCGAUGGCGAAGGCAGCCCACUGGGUUAACACUGACGCUCAUGCACGAAAGCGUGGGGAGCAAACAGGAUUAGAUACCUGGUAGUCAAGGC
rnacentral:rRNA from 1 species